rnacentral:rRNA from 1 species
GUGGGGAAUAUUGGACAAUGGGCGAAAGCCUGAUCCAGCCAUGCCGCGUGUGUGAAGAAGGUCUUCGGAUUGUAAAGCACUUUAAGUUGGGAGGAAGGGUAGUAACCUAAUACGUUGCUACUUUGACGUUACCGACAGAAUAAGCACCGGCUAACUUCGUGCCAGCAGCCGCGGUAAUACGAAGGGUGCAAGCGUUAAUCGGAAUUACUGGGCGUAAAGCGCGCGUAGGUGGUUCAGUAAGUUGGAAGUGAAAUCCCCGGGCUCAACCUGGGAACUGCUUUCAAAACUGCAUGACUAGAGUACGGUAGAGGGUAGUGGAAUUUCCUGUGUAGCGGUGAAAUGCGUAGAUAUAGGAAGGAACACCAGUGGCGAAGGCGACUACCUGGACUGAUACUGACACUGAGGUGCGAAAGCGUGGGGAGCAAACAGGAUUAGAAACCCUGGUAGUCC